rnacentral:rRNA from 1 species
CCUACGGGCGGCUGCAGUGGGGAAUAUUGCACAAUGGGCGCAAGCCUGAUGCAGCCAUGCCGCGGGUGUGAAGAAGGCCUUCGGGUUGUAAAGCACUUUCAGCGGGGAGGAAGGCGGUGAGGUUAAUAACCUCAUCGAUUGACGUUACCCGCAGAAGAAGCACCGGCUAACUCCGUGCCAGCAGCCGCGGUAAUACGGAGGGUGCAAGCGUUAAUCGGAAUUACUGGGCGUAAAGCGCACGCAGGCGGUCUGUCAAGUCGGAUGUGAAAUCCCCGGGCUCAACCUGGGAACUGCAUUCGAAACUGGCAGGCUAGAGUCUUGUAGAGGGGAGUAGAAUUCCAGGUGUAGCGGUGAAAUGCGUAGAGAUCUGGAGGAAUACCGGUGGCGAAGGCGGCCCCCUGGACAAAGACUGACGCUCAGGUGCGAAAGCGUGGGGAGCAAACAGGAUUAGAUACCCCAGUAGUC